AGGGUUCGAUUCUGGCUCAGGAUGAACGCUGGCGGCGCGCUUAACACAUGCAAGUCGAACGGUUAAUGCACCCCUCGGGGUGCGCAUAAAGUGGCGAACGGCUGAGUAACACGUGGGCAACCUGCCCCCCGCACCGGGAUAGCCUCGGGAAACCGAGGGUAAUACCGGAUACUCCGCCCCCCUCGCAUGGGAGGGGCGGGAAAGCACAUACGGCGGGGGAUGGGCCCGCGGCCUGUUAGCUCGUUGGCGGGGUAACGGCCCACCAAGGCGAUUAUGGGUAGCCGGGUUGAGAGACCGACCGGCCAGAUUGGGACUGAGACACGGCCCAGACUCCUACGGGAGGCAGCAGUGGGGAAUCUUGCACAAUGGGCGAAAGCCUGAUGCAGCGACGCCGCGUGCGGGAAGAAGGCCCUCGGGUUGUAAACCGCUUUCAGCAGGGACGAGGCGCAAGUGACGGUACCUGCAGAAGAAGCCCCGGCUAACUACGUGCCAGCAGCAGC
rnacentral:rRNA from 1 species